rnacentral:rRNA from 1 species
UUCUUUGGAGAGUUUGAUCCUGGCUCAGGACGAACGCUGGCGGCGUGCCUAAUACAUGCAAGUCGAGCGGACCGGAUUGGGGCUUGCCUUGAUUCGGUCAGCGGCGGACGGGUGAGUAACACGUGGGCAACCUGCCCGC